rnacentral:rRNA from 1 species
GACGAACGCUGGCGGCGUGCCUAAUACAUGCAAGUCGAGCGGACGAAUCGAAAGCUUGCUUUUGAUUCGUUAGCGGCGGGCGGGUGAGUAACACGUGGGCAACCUGCCCUGUAGACGGGGAUAACACCGAGAAAUCGGUGCUAAUACCGGAUAACACGAAAUGUCGCAUGACGUUUCGUUGAAAGACGGCGCAAGCUGCCGCUACAGGAUGGGCCCGCGGCGCAUUAGCUAGUUGGUGAGGUAACGGCUCACCAAGGCGACGAUACGUAGCCGACCUGAGAGGGUGAUCGGCCACACUGGGACUGAGACACGGCCCAGACUCCUACGGGAGGCAGCAGUAGGGAAUCUUCCGCAAUGGACGAAAGUCUGACGGAGCAACGCCGCGUGAGCGAAGAAGGCCUUCGGGUCGUAAAGCUCUGUUGUUAGGGAAGAACAAGUAACGCAGUAACUGGCGUUACCGUGACGGUACCUAACGAGAAAGCCACGGCUAACUACGUG